rnacentral:rRNA from 1 species
CAGCCGCCGCGGGAAUACGAAGGGUGCAAGCGUUAAUCGGAAUUACUGGGCGUAAAGGGUGCGUAGGCGGUUGUUUAAGUCUGUUGUGAAAUCCCCGGGCUCAACCUGGGAAUGGCAAUGGAAACUGGACGGCUAGAGUGUGUCAGAGGAUGGUGGAAUUCCCGGUGUAGCGGUGAAAUGCGUAGAGAUCGGGAGGAGCAACAGUGGCGAAGGCGGCCAUCUGGGACAACACUGACGCUGAAGCACGAAAGCGUGGGGAGCAAACAGGAUUAGAUACCCCCGUAGUCCCUGUCUCUUAUAC